UGCUCCUCUGCGAUAGCAGGUUGUGUUGCCUAGGGAGCCAUAGUGGAGUAGAUCCUGUCCAUACCAACCGUCCUGAAAGUGGCUACAGUAUUUCAUUCCUAACAUUUCUAUAAUACUACAACUUCUGUUAGACCUCAGUUUUCUCUAAUUCCUUCCCUCAGUGAUUUCCCCACACUAAUAAUUGUUAAAUAAUGCAUGGGUAGUUGCAAAGUCCAACAGAGCUCCACCCUUGUGUAAGGCUUUUCCUCAUCACUGGAUGUUUGUGCAUUAUGCAACUAGCAAUAGAUUAACACCCACAGUGCAAAACUGAGAUGCCUGCGCCUUAAGUCUAUGAACUCUUUCAAUCCCUACUGUCAAAUAUGCAGUAAGAGACAGAGGACAGCAGAUGGAAGGAAAGAAAAUGAUCUCAUGAAGUACAAAAAGGAUGUAAUUGGUCAAAAAUUAACAAAG